rnacentral:tRNA from 1 species
GCCCCCGUAGCUCAGCGGAUAGAGCAUGGGCGUCCUAAGCCUUGCGCGUAGGUUCGAUUCCUACCGGGGGCA